rnacentral:rRNA from 1 species
UACGAAGGGGGCUAGCGUUGCUCGGAAUCACUGGGCGUAAAGCGCACGUAGGCGGAUCUUUAAGUCAGGGGUGAAAUCCUGGAGCUCAACUCCAGAACUGCCUUUGAUACUGAGGAUCUUGAGUCCGGGAGAGGUGAGUGGAACUCCGAGUGUAGAGGUGAAAUUCGUAGAUAUUCGGAAGAACACCAGUGGCGAAGGCGGCUCACUGGCCCGGUACUGACGCUGAGGUGCGAAAGCGUGGGGAGCGAACAGGAUUAAAACCCA